UACGGAAGGCAGCAGGGGGAAUAUUGCACAAUGGGCGAAAGCCUGAUGCAGCUAUGCCGCGUGUAUGAAGAAGGCCUUAGGGUUGUAAAGUACUUUCAUCGGGGAGGAAAAAACAAAACUAAUAAUUUUAUUUCUUGACGUUACCCGAAAAAGAAGCACCGGCUAACUCCGUGCCAGCAGCCGCGGUAAUACGGAGGGUGCUAGCGUUAAUCAGAAUUACUGGGCGUAAAGAGCACGUAGGUGGUUUUUUUAAGUCAGAUGUGAAAUCCCUGGGCUUAACCUAGGAACUGCAUUUUGAAACUGAAAUACUAGAGUAUCGUAGGGGGAGGUAGAAUUCUAGGUGUAGCGGUGAAAUGCGUAGAUAUCUGGAGGAAUACCUGUGGCGAAAGCGGCCUCCUAAACGAAUACUGACACUGAGGGUGCGAAAGCGUGGGGAGCAAACAGGGAUUAGAUACC
rnacentral:rRNA from 1 species